rnacentral:lncRNA from 1 species
UGCUUGCAUAGGUCUGCCAAACUAUGCUCUUCAUCAUUGGAGGGAUCUUAUCAUUGAGAUUGGUAGAUGCUGGAUUAGGAGGUCUAGCGGAAGCUGAAGCCAAUGAAGUAGGAUCACUUUACUGUGGUUCCUUAUGUCUCCACCCAGUCCUCGAAGCCUCCAUGUCGGUAAGUACUCGAUCGUAAUUUGAGGAGGAGAUGUUGGAUUGGAUGGUGGAUAACCUC